rnacentral:rRNA from 1 species
GACGAACGCUGGCGGCGUGCUUAACACAUGCAAGUCGAACGGAAAGGCCCCUUUGGGGGUACUCGAGUGGCGAACGGGGGAGUAACACGGGAGUAACCUGCCCUUGACUUCGGGAUAACUUCAGGAAACUGGGGCUAAUACCGGAUAGGAAUCCUUGCUGCAUGGUGGGGGUUGGAAAGCUUCGGCGGCUUUGGAUGGACUCGCGGCUUAUCAGCUUGUUGGUGGGGUAGUGGCGUACCAAGGCUUUGACGGGUAACCGGCCUGAGAGGGCGACCGGCCACACUGGGACUGAGAGACGGCCCAGACUCCUACGGGAGGCAGCGGUGGGGAAUAUUGCACAAUGGGCGGCAGCCUGAUGCAGCAACGCCGCGUGCUGGAUGACGGCCUUCGGGUUGAAAACCGCUUUCAGCAGGGGCGAAGCUUGUGGUGACGGUACCUGCAGAAGAAGCACCGGCUAACUACGUG